rnacentral:rRNA from 1 species
CCAAUAGCGUAUAUUAAAGUUGUUGCAGUUAAAAAGCUCGUAGUUGAAUUUCAGGCCUGGCUGGACGGUCCGCCCUUCGGGUGAGUACUGUCUGUGGUCGGGUCCUACCUUCUGGCGAAGCGUCAUGGCCUUAACCGGCCGUGGCGGGGAACCAGGAUUCUUACUGUGAAAAAAUUAGAGUGUUCAAAGCAGGCAAUCGCUUGGAUACAUUAGCAUGGAAUAAUGGAAUAGGACAAUGGUUCUAUUUGUUGGUUUCUAGGACCGUUGUAAUGAUUAAUAGGGAUAGUUGGGGGCAUUAGUAUUCAAUUGUCAGAGGUGAAAUUCUUAGAUUUAUUGAAGACUAACUACUGCAAAAGCAUUUGCCAAGGAUGUUUUCAUUAAUCAAGAACGAAAGUUAGGGGAUCGAAGACGAUCAGAUACCGUCGUAGUCUUAACCAUAAACUAUGCCGACUAGGAAUCGGGCGAUGUUGAAAAAAUGACGCGCUCGGCACCUCAUG